UUGGGACCAAUUCAGAGAGUGGUUUGGGCUUUCUUCCCAAUGAUACGGUGGUGAAAUCCUGGCUUCAUCUCUUCUUCUAACCAAUGCCGAAACCCUUGCUGACCACCUUGCAUUUCAGUUGUUGAGGCCAGAAAUCAGAACCUUGCGCCACUGGGCACUUGGGAAUGUAUAGAUUCUGGGAUUCUUCGGAAAAUAUAGCAAAUUCAAGCUUCCAAUGUGCAUUAAGCAAGGGAAAGCAAAUAUUUGAAGGCGACUCAUAAGGAGUUUUUCCUUGUUAAUAUUUAUCCAAAGUCCAAACCAUGGUUUGAUAUUCCAAAUGUAAAAGUGAUUACAAAAAGAAUCACCAUAAAAAUGCAUAGAGAAACAGCUACUACAGAUUACCUUGUGUUGGAAUGCUA